CGAAUUCUCUUUGACUAGGGAUCCAAAGAGGGUGCUAGACCCUUACGCAUUGUUGACUUUUCGUACGCGUUCGUUUCUUGGAGUAGGGUUGUUUUGGAUCGCAGCCCAAAGUAGGUGGUAUACUUCAUCUAAAGCUAAAUACGACUACGAAUCCGAUAGCAAACAAGUACCGUGAGGGAAAGUUGCAAAGUACUUUGAAGAGAGAGUUCAAGAGGACGUGAAACCGGUAGGGUGGAAGCAGAUAAAGUUGACGAACGUGUGUCGUAUUCAGAACUACAAUUUGUGGUUUGUUUUUACGAUCGAUGUGGGCUGGCGUCUUUGGUUAACUUAGUGUCUGGCGGCAAUGGUGACCCUGCGGAGGGAUAAUCGGUUGUCGUGCGAUGCUUGGUAUGGCUAGAGGUUCGCUGGUCUUAUAGUCAUCGCUUUAUCUGACCCGUCUUGAAACACGGACCAAGGAGUGUAGCGCUUACGCGAGUCUUAGAGUGUGUCAAAACUUUGAGGCGUAACGAAAGUAAAUGUGGAUUUAUUCACUGACUUGGGAUGCGUUGUCUUUUUUGGAUGGCGUUGGACCAUGGUUUUAUCGUAAUCGCUUGCGAUGCGGUGAAAAUAGAGCGUAAGCGGUGCGA
rnacentral:rRNA from 3 species